GGGAGGUGAGUUCUCACGGCGGGUUCCAAGUCGGAAGCUAGAGCACUCUGCACUCUGCGUCAGCGACAUCCAGAACCCAAGGCUCCAGAGGCAAGUCCUUCUGCUCCUUGAAGAUGCAACAUCCCUUACUCCCAGGGGUAAAGCAAUGUCCCACAUAGGAAGGACCAGGCCUCUUCCUGACUGAAGCCACCAGCAUCUGACCUUAGACCUCCACGCCUGCAAAACUAGAUGUGCUUAGUCUUGGCUCUUCCUCUGGGACAGGCUCAGGUGUCGUCUCUACAGCACACAGCACAGACAAUUCAGAAUUCCCAACAGGAGGGUCGCACGGGCUGUGUGAACAGGCGCAACAGAGCUCAGGCAGAGACCUGGCCCCUUGCUAGUGAUGUCACUGUGGACAGUCACCAUCUGUCUGGACCUCAGCUUCCCCAGCUAAACUGUGGGAGCAACAGCGCCUCCUGGGAAGCUGUCUGUGUGAAGAGAGCCAUGGCAGCCAAAUACCUCAUAAAAGACAAUAGCAGACAGCCAGUAACUAGCUGUGUCGUCCCAAGCCCAGCACUACUUGGGUGAGCCAGUAACAUGCUGAGAGAAAUAAGAGCUGGGGCUAAAUUAAAGGGGCAGGGGCAAGUCAUCAAUAAGAGAUGGGGAAGACACCGGGCUGUUUCCUGUCACUCCAUAUCCCCGACCCGUCACAUUCUCUGAUUUUGAAAAUAGCACGGAUACAUAAAAGUAUUUCUCCACCCUGGGAGAAGGGCAGUACUGUUUUGGUUUUCCAUGCCAGUCAGGAGGGAGAGCCUGUGUUCUUUGUGCAGUAGCCGAAGACAGAAGGCAGGCAGGGCUGCAUACAGGCUACCUCAGGACUCUACCAUUAACCAACGCCGCACCCUGUUCUGAUUCCUACCAGGCUGUGCAGGAGUCUUGGGCACACAUGCAGCCAGACCUUGGCUGGUGUGGGCCACAGCAGGCCAAGUCCAGGCUCACAUCAGUGCCCUCUGCACCAUGCCCCUAUAGCUAGAAAGGGUGGCUACUCUCUAGGCAAUAAAGGCAGGGGGGAUACUGGUCACAUCACCCCCAGGGCCUUCUCAUCCGACACUCUAGUUUCCAAAGUCCCAGGGGGAAGUCCUAGUCAGGAAGGAGAUGUGUGUGGAACAACCAGAGGCCACCUCAGCCUCCGGACGACGUCCAGGUGACACGCAUAACGACAGAGGAUAUAGUGUGAUGUCACGCUCCUAGAGCAGGCCAGAGAAAGCCAGCUAACUUUCCUACUGUCUUCUGGUCACACAAAGACUUGUCAACACGUCCUGGACACAGAGUGUUCUCAGACACUCCAACGUGAGCCUGAGCUUGCGUUAGCAGACAAGAACUGGCGUGUGUUUGUGUUCUGGAAAUGACCAUAACUUUAUUAAACUUCUGCCCAGUUAAAAAUGGCCAGGCUUGUGCCCGUGCAAAGCAGAUAUGGGAGCUACAGGGUUUCCAGGUGGUAAUCUUAGGGACAUAAAAUACUUUCUUAGAGUGAAAUAAAUAGGCGCCAUACAUCCUGAUAAAGUUCAAGCACUAGUAUCCCAAACAUGCUGAGGCCCAUGAUCCAUGGCAAGAAUAGGUCACACAUGAUUUUCAAGACCAACUACCACCUCAAAGGUA